UCUUAGAGAUGAGCAAAGAAAGUGGUUUCUUGAGGUGGAAUGUACUCUUGGUAAAGGUGUUGUGAA
rnacentral:pre_miRNA from 1 species